rnacentral:ncRNA from 1 species
GGAAUGAUUGGGCGUAAAGCGUCUGUAGGUGGCUUUUUAAGUUCACCGUCAAAUCCCAGGGCUCAACCCUGGACAGGUGGUGAAAACUACUAAGCUAGAGUACGGUAGGGGCAGAGGGAAUUUCCGGUGGAGCGGUGAAAUGCGUAGAGAUCGGAAGGAACACCAAUGGCGAAAGCGACAUUUUCCAUCGCUCUCGGUUCACCAUUAUUGAAUGGUUCACU